rnacentral:rRNA from 1 species
GGAUGCGAUCAUACCAGCACUAAAGCACCGGAUCCAUCAGAACUCCGAAGUUAAGCGUGCUUGGGCGAGAGUAGUACUAGGAUAGGUGACCUCCUGGGAAGUCCUCGUGUUGCAUUCC